GGUAAGACGGAGGAUGCAAGCGUUAUCCGGAAUUAUUGGGCGUAAAGCGUCCGUAGGCGGUUUAUCAAGUCUGCCGUUAAAGACUGCAGCUUAACUGUGGGCGAGCGGUGGAAACUGAGUAAC
rnacentral:rRNA from 1 species